rnacentral:rRNA from 1 species
AGUGAACGCUGGCGGCAGGCCUAACACAUGCAAGUCGAGCGGCAGCACAGCAGUAGCAAUACUGUGGGUGGCGAGCGGCGGACGGGUGAGGAACACAUCGGAAUCUACCUUCUUGUGGGGGAUAACGUAGGGAAACUUACGCUAAUACCGCAUAAGACCUGAGGGUGAAAGCGGGGGACCGCAAGGCCUCGCGCGAGAAGAUGAGCCGAUGUCCGAUUAGCUAGUUGGUGAGGUAAAGGCUCACCAAGGCGACGAUCGGUAGCUGGUCUGAGAGGAUGAUCAGCCACACUGGAACUGAGACACGGUCCAGACUCCUACGGGAGGCAGCAGUGGGGAAUAUUGGGACAAUGGGCGCAAGCCUGAUCCAGCCAUGCCGCGUGUGUGAAGAAGGGCCUUCGGGUUGUAAA